rnacentral:snRNA from 1 species
AUCGCUUCUUGGCCUUUUGGCUAAGAUCAAGUGUGGAAUAUCGAGUUAAAUAAGCUCUUUUUUUUUUUCUUAUGGAAUUCCAUUUUUACUUGAAAGAACAUCUGACAGAAAACUACAGUUAUUUGGAGUUGGGCAUUAAGC